UACGUAGGGACCAAGCGUUGUUCGGAUUUACUGGGCGUAAAGGGCGCGUAGGCGGCUUGACAAGUCACUUGUGAAAUCUCCGGGCUUAACUCGGAACGGCCAAGUGAAACUGUCAUGCUAGAGUGCAGAAGGGGCAAUCGGAAUUCUUGGUGUAGCGGUGAAAUGCGUAGAUAUCGAGAGGAACACCUGCGGCGAAGGCGGGUUGCUGGGCUGACACUGACGCUGAACUGCGAAAGCUAGGGGAGCGAACGGG
rnacentral:rRNA from 1 species